UACAGAGGGUGCAAGCGUUAAUCGGAAUUACUGGGCGUAAAGCGUGCGUAGACGGUUAUGUAAGUCAGAUGUGAAAGCCCCGGGCUCAACCUGGGAAUUGCAUUUGUGACUGCAUCGCUUGGAGUGCGGCAGAGGGGGAUGGAAUUCCGCGUGUAGCAGUGAAAUGCGUAGAUAUGCGGAGGAACACCGAUGGCGAAGGCAAUCCCCUGGGCCUGCACUGACGCUCAUGCACGAAAGCGUGGGGAGCAAACAGG
rnacentral:rRNA from 1 species